CGCAAAAAAGGGGACGGAGGGGAUUAAGUCGUAAACGGUCGGAUUGGCGGAUUGCGACUUAAUCCCCUCCGUCCCCUUUUUCUGU
rnacentral:antisense_RNA from 1 species